GAUGAACGCUAGCGGCAGGCCUAACACAUGCAAGUCGAGGGGUAGAAGGAGCUUGCUCCUUUGAGACCGGCGCACGGGUGCGUAACGCGUAUGCAAUCUACCUUGUACAGGGGAAUAGCCCAGAGAAAUUUGGAUUAAUGCCCCAUAGUAUAUAACCUUCGCAUGUUGGUUAUAUUAAAGUUCCAACGGUACAAGAUGAGCAUGCGUCCCAUUAGUUAGUUGGUAAGGUAACGGCUUACCAAGACGAUGAUGGGUAGGGGUCCUGAGAGGGAGAUCCCCCACACGGGUACUGAGACACGGACCAGACUCCUACGGGAGGCAGCAGUGAGGAAUAUUGGUCAAUGGUCGCAAGACUGAACCAGCCAUGCCGCGUGCAGGAAGACGGUCCUAUGGAUUGUAAACUGCUUUUAUACUGGAAGAAACCCUCCCACGUGUGGGAGCUUGACGGUACUGUAGGAAUAAGGAUCGGCUAACUCCGUG
rnacentral:rRNA from 1 species